rfam:Musa acuminata subsp. malaccensis Doubled-haploid Pahang (DH-Pahang) genomic chromosome, chr3
AACAAAAUGAUGAGGCUUGUUGAUCUGAAUUAUAUGUGGAUAAUACAUCAAAGGUCUUCAAAGUUCUCUGAUUGCU